UCAUGGCUCAGGACGAACGCUGGCGGCGUGCUUAACACAUGCAAGUCGAACGGAAAGGCCCAGCUUGCUGGGUGCUCGAGUGGCGAACGGGUGAGUAACACGUGGGUGAUCUGCCCCUGACUUCGGGAUAAGCUUGGGAAACUGGGUCUAAUACCGGAUAGGACAAUCGUUUAGUGUCGGUUGUGGAAAGUUUUUUCGGUUAGGGAUGAGCCCGCGGCCUAUCAGCUUGUUGGUGGGGUAAUGGCCUACCAAGGCGUCGACGGGUAGCCGCCCUGAGAGGGUGGACGGCCACAUUGGGACUGAGAUACGGCCCAGACUCCUACGGGAGGCAGCAGUGGGGAAUAUUGCACAAUGGGCGCAAGCCUGAUGCAGCGACGCCGCGUGGGGGAUGACGGCCUUCGGGUUGUAAACCUCUUUCGACAGGGACGAAGCUUUUGUGACGGUACCUGUAUAAGAAGCACCGGCUAACUACGUGCCAGCAGCCGCGGUAAUACGUAGGGUGCGAGCGUUGUCCGGAAUUACUGGGCGUAAAGAGCUCGUAGGUGGUUUGUCGCGUCGUCUGUGAAAUUCCGGGGCUUAACUUCGGGCGUGCAGGCGAUACGGGCAUAACUUGAGUGCUGUAGGGGAGACUGGAAUUCCUGGUGUAGC
rnacentral:rRNA from 1 species